rnacentral:misc_RNA from 1 species
GCCACAUUAUAAAUCUAAUCACAAGCACUGCACACCGGGCAACAGAAAAGGACAAACACAUCAUAAAACUAUGAACUGAUUACUGCAAUGCAAGUUGCAGUAAAUUUAAGAACAAAAGAAGCAAUAACCAAAGUGACCAAGGCAGCCUAAUUUGGAUAUAUAAUUUUCAAUAGAGUUCGGAGUCUAUAAUAUGGUCACCUUUGACGAAUUUUUU